rnacentral:rRNA from 1 species
GUCCACGCCGUAAACGAUGUCGACUAGCCGUUGGGGUCCUUGAGACUUUAGUGGCGCAGCUAACGCAUUAAGUCGACCGCCUGGGGAGUACGGCCGCAAGGUUAAAACUCAAAGGAAUAGACGGGGACCCACACAAGCGGUGGAACAUGGGGGUUUAAUUCGAUGGUAAACGAAGAACCUCACCCAGGCUUGACAUGUUAGGAAUACGGCAGAAACGUCGUAGUGCCGCAAGGAACCUAAACACAGGCGCUGCACGGUUGUCGU